AAGUCGUAACAAGGUUUCCGUAGGUGAACCUGCGGAAGGAUCAUUACCAAUAUAGCGAACCGAGCGUUAGCGAGGCUUCGCGAUCAAAUUGUAUUUAAAACCCAACUCUUUAAAUGUAUAUUAUUAUUAUAUUUUAAAUAAUAAAAAGAUCACUUUCAACAACGGAUCUCUUGGCUCUG
rnacentral:misc_RNA from 1 species